rnacentral:rRNA from 1 species
UACGAAGGGGGCGAGCGUUGUUCGGAAUUACUGGGCGUAAAGGGCCAGUAGGCGGCCAACUAAGUCGGAUGUGAAAUCCCCAGGCUUAACCUGGGAACUGCAUCCGAUACUGGAUGGCUUGAAUUCGGGAGAGGGAUGCAGAAUUCCAGGUGUAGCGGUGAAAUGCGUAGAUAUCAGGAGGAACACCGGCGGCGAAGGCGGUUCUCUGGGCCUUACCUGACACUGAGGAGCGAAAGCGUGGGGAGCGAACAGG